rnacentral:rRNA from 1 species
AACGAACGCUGGCGGCAUGCCUAACACAUGCAAGUCGAACGAUUGCCUUCGGGUGAUAGUGGCGCACGGGUGCGUAACGCGUGGGAAUCUGCCCUUAGGUUCGGAAUAACAGCUGGAAACGGCUGCUAAUACCGGAUGAUAUCGCGAGAUCAAAGAUUUAUCGCCUGAGGAUGAGCCCGCGUUGGAUUAGGUAGUUGGUGGGGUAAAGGCCUACCAAGCCGACGAUCCAUAGCUGGUCUGAGAGGAUGAUCAGCCACACUGGGACUGAGACACGGCCCAGACUCCGACGGGGGGCACGAGUGGGGAAUAUUGGAAAAGGGGCCCAAGCCUGAUCCAGAAAUGCCGGGGGAGGGAUGAAGGCCCUAGGGUUGUAAAGCUCUUUUACCCGGGAAGAUAAUGACUGUACCGGGAGAAAAAGCCCCGGCAAACCCCGU